rnacentral:rRNA from 1 species
AAUAGAUACCCGGGUAGUCCACGCCGUAAACGUUGGGCGCUAGAUGUGGGGACCAUUCCACGGUUUCCGCGUCGUAGCUAACGCAUUAAGCGCCCCGCCUGGGGAGUACGGCCGCAAGGCUAAAACUCAAAGGAAUUGACGGGGGCCCGCACAAGCGGCGGAGCAUGCGGAUUAAUUCGAUGCAACGCGAAGAACCUUACCAAGGCUUGACAUAUGCGAGAACGCUCUAGAAAUAGAGAACUCUUUGGACACUCGUAUACAGGUGGUGCAUGGUUGUCGUCAGCUCGUGUCGUGAGAUGUUGGGUUAAGUCCCGCAACGAGCGCAACCCUCGUCGCAUGUUGCCAGCACGUAAUGGUGGGAACUCAUGUGAGACUGCCGGGGUCAACUCGGAGGAAGGUGGGGAUGACGUCAAAUCAUCAUGCCCCUUAUGUCUUGGGCUUCACGCAUGCUACAAUGGCCGGUACAAAGGGCUGCGAAAACCGCAAGGUGGAGCGAAUCCCAAAAAAGCCGGUCUCAGUUCGGA